rnacentral:rRNA from 1 species
UACGUAGGUGGCGAGCGUUGUCCGGAUUUAUUGGGCGUAAAGGGCGCGCAGGUGGUGCGGUAAGGCUGCCGUGAAAUCUCCCGGCUCAACUGGGAGGGUGCGGUGGCGACUGCCGGACUGGAGGCACUCAGAGGCCGGUGGAAUUCCCGGUGUAGUGGUGAAAUGCGUAGAGAUCGGGAGGAACACCAGUGGCGAAGGCGGCCGGCUGGGGGUGACCUGACGCUGAGGCGCGAAAGCUAGGGGAGCAAACAGG